AAAAUUAGCCAGGCAUGGUGACGCAUGUCUGUAAUCUCAGCUACAUGGGAGGCUGAGGCAGGAGAAUCACUUGAACCCAGGAGGCAGAGGUUGCAGUGAGCUGAGAUCGUACCACUGCACUCCAGUCUGGGUGACAGAGCACGACUCCAUGUGGAGUUGAUAUCAAGAGAUUUCAGAAGCACAAUUUUUGGAAGUUGGGCAGCUGGUGAUCGUUGGUCCUGGCAUCUUU
ensembl:snRNA